rnacentral:rRNA from 1 species
GGACCCGCGGCGCAUUAGCUAGUUGGUGAGGUAACGGCUCACCAAGGCGACGAUGCGUAGCCGACCUGAGAGGGUGAUCGGCCACACUGGGACUGAGACACGGCCCAGACUCCUACGGGAGGCAGCAGUAGGGAAUCUUCCGCAAUGGACGAAAGUCUGACGGAGCAACGCCGCGUGAGUGAUGAAGGUUUUCGGAUCGUAAAGCUCUGUUGUUAGGGAAGAACAAGUGCAAUAGUAACUGCUUGCACCUUGACGGUACCUAACCAGAAAGCCACGGCUAACUACGUGCCAGCAGCCGCGGUAAUACGUAGGUGGCAAGCGUUGUCCGGAAUUAUUGGGCGUAAAGGGCUCGCAGGCGGUUUCUUAACUCUGAUGUGAAAGCCCCCGGCUCAACCGGGGAGGGUCAUUGGAAACUGGGAAACUUGAGUGCAGAAGAGAAGAGUGGAAUUCCACGUGUAGCGGUGAAAUGCGUAGAGAUGUGGAGGAACACCAGUGGCGAAGGCGACUUUCUGGUCUGUAAACUGACGCUGAGGAGCGAAAGCGUGGGGAGCGAACAGGAUUAGAUACCCUGGUAGUCCACGCCGUAAACGAUGAGUGCUAAGUGUUAGGGGGUUUCCGCCCCUUAGUGCUGCAGCUAACGCAUUAAGCACUCCGCCUGGGGAGUACGGUCGCAAGACUGAAACUCAAAGGAAUUGACGGGGGCCCGCACAAGCGGUGGAGCAUGUGGUUUAAUUCGAAGCAACGCGAAGAACCUUACCAGGUCUUGACAUCCUCUGACAACCCUAGAGAUAGGGCUUUCCCUUCGGGGACAGAGUGACAGGUGGUGCAUGGUUGUCGUCAGCUCGUGUCGUGAGAUGUUGGGUUAAGUCCCGCAACGAGCGCAACCCUUGAUCUUAGUUGCCAGCAUUCAGUUGGGCACUCUAAGGUGACUGCCGGUGACAAACCGGAGGAAGGUGGGGAUGACGUCAAAUCAUCAUGCCCCUUAUGACCUGGGCUACACACGUGCUACAAUGGACAGAACAAAGGGCUGCGAGACCG